UUGAACGCUGGCGGCAGGCCUAACACAUGCAAGUCGAGCGGAUGAAGGGAGCUUGCUCCUGGAUUCAGCGGCGGACGGGUGAGUAAUGCCUAGGAAUCUGCCUGGUAGUGGGGGAUAACGUCCGGAAACGGGCGCUAAUACCGCAUACGUCCUGAGGGAGAAAGUGGAGGAUCUUCGGACCUCACGCUAUCAGAUGAGCCUAGGUCGGAUUAGCUAGUUGGUGGGGUAAAGGCCUAUCAAGGCGACGAUCCGUAACUGGUCUGAGAGGAUGAUCAGUCACACUGGAACUGAGACACGGUCCAGACUCCUACGGGAGGCAGCAGUGGGGAAUAUUGGACAAUGGGCGAAAGCCUGAUCCAGCCAUGCCGCGUGUGUGAAGAAGGUCUUCGGAUUGUAAAGCACUUUAAGUUGGGAGGAAGGGCAGUAAGUUAAUACCUUGCUGUUUUGACGUUACCAACAGAAUAAGCACCGGCUAACUUCGUG
rnacentral:rRNA from 1 species